GACGUAGGGCGCGAGCGUUGUCCGGAUUUAUUGGGCGUAAAGAGCUCGUAGGCGGCUCGUUGCGUCAACCGUGAAAACCCGGGGCUUAACUUCGGGCUUGCGGUUGAUACGGGCGGGCUGGAGUUCGGUAGGGGAGACUGGAAUUCCUGGUGUAGCGGUGAAAUGCGCAGAUAUCAGGAAGAACACCGAUGGCGCAGGCAGCUCUCUGGGACGGUACUGACGCUGAGACGCGAAAGCGUGGGGAGCGAACAGG
rnacentral:rRNA from 1 species